CAGACCAAUUUCACCUCAGAUGGGGAGGACACCUUCUCAAGGUGUGAACUACAAUGUUUCAGGACAUUCUGAUGUUGAAUUCCAAAAUAAGAGCCCCCCAAAACUCAUAUAUUACCUUUUUUGUCCAUACAUUCAGAAAAUCAUAAAAAUAAAAGUCCUAGUUUCCACAGACCAAUUUCACCUCAGGUGGGGAGGACACCUUCUCAAGGUGUGAACUACAAUGUUUCAGGACAUUCUGAUGUUGAAUUACAAAAUAAGAGCCCCC